ensembl:lncRNA
CGAAUAUGUGAUGAGCUGGGCUUUAAAUAAAGCCGUGCGUACAGCGACAUCGCGUUCUCUGGUCUUCGAGCUGCCCUCCUGCUGCUGCUCGACCUUGCAUCCUCUCCUCCGGUCUUUCAGAGACUCACAGGCUUCUGUUUUUCUUCGUGUCUAAUCUCGCGCAACCAUGCCAAGCAAGAGGAAGAAGAAUAAGCGCCGCAUGAGGAGAGUGGGCGAGACACAAGCUGCCCCCAGCGAAGACGCAGUUGUCCAGGAAACCAUCGAGGUUUGUGAAGACGCAGUUGUCCAGGAGACCAUCGAGACAUCAGAAGUGGACGGUGUGGCAUGGGCGCCCGCUGUCGAAGCACCAGAAGAGAUCGUACCUGAACCCAGUGUUGAAGAAGAACAAAAGUCCGUAUCGGAGCCCGUUGACGUGUUAGCUGAGCCUGCACCUGAGCCUGCAGAUGAAGCCCAAACCCUUUCAGAAAAUGCAGUCGAACCAGUUUCGGCUGACGCCGAGGUGGUGGAACCCGAGGCUGUGGCCAUGCCUGAGCAAGAGUCGCCUGAAGACGCAGAUGAAGCUGUGAUUGCACAACCUGAGGUCGAAGAAGCCAUGGUGAAGACUGUGAGUGAAGAACCAGAGGUGGUGGAGGUGGUGGAGGUGGUGGUGGCCCCCGCAGAGACCGUGGAAGCUGAGCAGGUUCCUGAGGUGACUCCUGCUGCUCCAGAGCCAGAGCCAGAGGUGUGCCCAGAUGUUCCAGCCCAGAUUGAGGAGGCUGUUGCGGCUGAGGCUGCCCCUGUUGCCCCUGUCGUCGAGCCUGAGGUUGCCGCGGCUGAACCCGUGACCCCUGACACCAUGGCUGAGGACUUUGUUGUGACCGAAUCUGCGGUUGCUGUGGAGGCGGCCAUGUCUGUACCUGCUGAGGAGCCUGCUCCAGUUGCCAUCAUUGCUGAGACCCUGGUCCUGCCAGAGGUGGAGGUGGAGGUGGAGCCCAUCGCUGAACCCACCCCUCUGUCAACCAACGAAGUCAUCAAGGUUAAAGAGGAAAUUGUGACUGAAGUGGAGAUUGAAACAAAAAUGGUAGUGGAGGCUCUGAAUGGACACGUAACACCAGAAGUGGCUAUUGAGAGCUAAACAUAAUGUGUGCACAAAGGGACUCCGAAAAACAUCUCCGUUCAAAGUGCCUUUUUCCUGUAUGGGCUCUCAAAUCUUUUGGAUGUGGAGCGUAGAUUCAGACAGAUGUCAUGAUUUUCAUGUGAAUACUGGCUCUUUUUGAUUGGCGUCCAUAUCUUCAUGCAUAUUUGCAGACACUGUAAUACGCAUACACGGAGCUGUUUUGGUGAAAUCUCACAAUUUAUAUGUUCAUAUUUGGACCAUUUUUGUAUUGAAAAGUUUUUUUUUUAUUUUGCCUUCUCUUUUCCUUUUUUGUAAAAACAGUUUGGACUGUAGAGCUGCCUCCCAAGGCUCCUGUUUACUAUUUCAGAUGGUGCCUUUUUCCUUAAGUUUGAAUGGAUUUCACUGGAGGAGCCCUUUCUGUGUGUGUGUAUGUGUGUGUGUCUGUGCUGUGCGCCUCUUGUUAUGACUGCAAGUGUCCCGCAUCAGCGCGGCACACUGGAGAAAGUGCAUCCGUUCUCUGGACAGGGCUGUAGUCCGGCAGGGCUGCAGAGGUUGGACUCUCAGGCCACACGUGUUGUCUUUUCCUCCUGCCUUUUGUAAACAAGUCUAUUUGGUACAAGAUGGCUGCUGGAAGCCAUGGUCCACCGCAGAUGGAGCUUUUAACGGUUCUUUCACUCUCAAUAAAGAAAUCGAACUCACCA